UACGGAGGGUGCAAACGUUGCUCGGAAUCAUUGGGCGUAAAGCGCACGUAGGCGGCCUGAUAAGUCGGUGGUGAAAUCCUGGAGCUCAACUCCAGAACUGCCUUCGAUACUGGGAGUCUUGAGUCCGGGAGAGGUGAGUGGAGCUGCGAGUGUAGAGGUGAAAUUCGUAGAUAUUCGCAAGAACACCAGUGGCGAAGGCGGCUCACUGGCCCGGUACUGACGCUGAGGCGCGACAGCGUGGGGAGCAAACAGG
rnacentral:rRNA from 1 species